CAGCAGCCACGGUAAUACGUAGGGUGCAAGCGUUAAUCGGAAUUACUGGGCGUAAAGCGUGCGCAGGCGGUUAUAUAAGACAGAUGUGAAAUCCCCGGGCUCAACCUGGGAACUGCAUUUGUGACUGUAUAGCUAGAGUACGGCAGAGGGGGAUGGAAUUCCGCGUGUAGCAGUGAAAUGCGUAGAUAUGCGGAGGAACACCGAUGGCGAAGGCAAUCCCCUGGGCCUGUACUGACGCUCAUGCACGAAAGCGUGGGGAGCAAACAGGAUUAGAUACCCGGGUAGUCCCUGUCUCUUAUAU
rnacentral:rRNA from 1 species